AUACGGAGGGUGCAAGCGUUAAUCGGAAUUACUGGGCGUAAAGCGCGCGUAGGCGGUUAUUUAAGUCAGAUGUGAAAUCCCUGGGCUCAACCUAGGAACUGCAUCUGAUACUGGGUAACUAGAGUUUUGGAGAGGUAAGUGGAAUUUCCGGUGUAGCGGUGAAAUGCAUAGAGAUCGGAAGGAACACCAGUGGCGAAGGCGACUUACUGGCCAAAAGCUGACGCUGAGGUGCGAAAGCGUGGGUAGCGAACAGGAUUAGAAACCCCAGUAGUCC
rnacentral:rRNA from 1 species